rnacentral:rRNA from 1 species
UACGGGGGGGGCAAGCGUUGUUCGGAAUUACUGGGCGUAAAGGGCUCGUAGGCGGCCAACUAAGUCGGACGUGAAAUCCCCAGGCUCAACCUGGGAACUGCGUCCGAUACUGGAUGGCUUGAAUCCGGGAGAGGGAUGCAGAAUUCCAGGUGUAGCGGUGAAAUGCGUAGAUAUCUGGAGGAAUACCGGUGGCGAAGGCGGCAUCCUGGACCGGCAUUGACGCUGAGGCGCGAAAGCGUGGGGAGCAAACGGG